rnacentral:rRNA from 1 species
GACGAACGCUGGCGGCGUGCUUAACACAUGCAAGUCGAACGGAAAGGCCCUGCUUUUGUGGGGUGCUCGAGUGGCGAACGGGUGAGUAACACGUGAGUAACCUGCCCUUGACUUUGGGAUAACUUCAGGAAACUGGGGCUAAUACCGGAUAGGAGCUCCUGCUGCAUGGUGGGGGUUGGAAAGUUUCGGCGGUUGGGGAUGGACUCGCGGCUUAUCAGCUUGUUGGUGGGGUAGUGGCUUGCCAAGGCUUUGACGGGUAGCCGGCCUGAGAGGGUGACCGGCCACAUUGGGACUGAGAUACGGCCCAGACUCCUACGGGAGGCAGCAGUGGGGAAUAUUGCACAAUGGGCGGAAGCCUGAUGCAGCAACGCCGGGUGCGGGAUGACGGCCUUCGGGUUGUAAACCGCUUUCGCCUGUGACGAAGCGUGAGUGACGGUAAUGGGUAAAGAAGCACCGGCUAACUACGUG